AAGCAGGGAAGCCCUUUGACGAGUCGAGUGUUUGGGAAUGCAGCUCCAAGCGGGUGGUAAAUUCCAUCUAAGGCUAAUACUGGCGAGAGACCGAUAGCGAACAAGUACUGUGAAGGAAAGAUGAAAAGCACUUUGAAAAGAGAGUGAAACAGCACGUGAAAUUGUGAAAGGGAAGGGUAUCGCGCCCGACAUGGGGAUUGCGCACCGCUGCCUCUCGUGGGCGGCGCUCUGGGCUUUCCCUGGGCCAGCAUCGGUUCUUGCUGCAGGAGAAGGGGUUCUGGAACGUGGCUCUUCGGAGUGUUAUAGCCAGGGCCAGAUGCUGCGUGCGGGGACCGAGGACUGCGGCCGUGUAGGUCACGGAUGCUGGCAGAACGGCGCAACACCGCCCGUCUUGAAACACGGACC
rnacentral:rRNA from 1 species